GCCCUACCCAAGGCAGCACAACUUCCACAAGCCGUUCAACAGACAACCACGACCUCAGCGGCCUCAAGGACCUCCCACAAGGCAUCUGGAUCAUGAUAACAGCAAGUCAGCAAGCCACACCAUUCAGAAGAAAAAGGAAAUUAAUAUUCCUGAGAAAAGAGGAAAUUAGAUACUACUUGAGAGAACCAGAGGCCCAAGGCUAUCCAUGCAUGAGUUCACAUACUUCAGCAUCACCGGAAAUACCUCCUUAUUAAUUUUUUUCAGGCCUUGCUUUAAACCAGACCAUAUAUUGUCAUACUGUAAGACUCACACACUCUUUUUAUGUUCACUAUCAAGCUUUUCUCUAAUGAGGCUACAACAAGAACAGAAACCUAUCUGGAGAUAAGGAUGCACGAGCAGAUUUGGAACCACCGCUCUCUAAUGGCUUUCUAAACCUACAGGUGGGAAUUGCUUAUACCCAGCAGUGACCACUGACAUCCCGGAUGAAGUCAGCCGGCCUCAAAAGCACAGAGCAUGUCAUGAACUCUUUGUGAGGAGUCAUUACUUAGAAGUCUUUUCUCUAGAAACGCGUCUGGAAAUCAGGUGUUCGGGGAAAAGAAUGGGUAAUCCCUAGUCACAAGCCUUUGUAGUGUUACUACUGUAUCUUGCAUAGGAAGAUGACUAGGGGGUGGGGCCGGAUUUAAUUCCAGUACUUGGCGUUGCCACACGGUGCCAGAACUGGUCUCUGGUAGGGAAGGCUGCGAUGGCCUUGGCUCCCAUCGAGUGGGCUUCCACCCAAGAAAGGAAGAAAGAGUAGUGGUGUUUCUGCGAUGUGACAAAACGGGCCAGCUUAAAGCCACGCACGUCUGCAGCAUGCAUCCCUCGAACAGUUUUCCCCAAUCCCCUCCCUUAAAGACAGAGCGCGCGCCCGCGAGGGCCCAUUACC